GACGAACGCUGGCGGCGUGCCUAAUACAUGCAAGUCUAAGGGGGUUGGUUCCUUCGGGAGCCGAUUCACUGGCGCACGGGUGAGUAACGCGUAAAUAAUCUGCCUCUGGGUCUGGCAUAACUUCGGGAAACCGGGGCUAAUUCCGGAUGACACCGCAAGGUCAAAGCUUUGGCGCCCAGAGAUGAGUUUGCGUCUGAUUAGCUAGUUGGCGGGGUAAUGGCCCACCAAGGCGACGANCAGUAGCCGGUCUGAGAGGAUGAUCGGCCACAUUGGGACUGAGACACGGCCCAGACUCCUACGGGAGGCAGCAGUGGAGAAUAUUGCGCAAUGGGCGAAAGCCUGACGCAGCGACGCCGCGUGAGGGACGAAGGCC
rnacentral:rRNA from 1 species